AAUAUUGCGCAAUGGAGGAAACUCUGACGCCGCGACGCCGCGCGAGCUCAGAAGGUCUUCGCAUCGUAAAGCUCUGUCCUCUGGGAAGAAUAUCGAGAGAUAUGACGGCACCCGAGCAGGAAGCCCCGGCUAACGACGUGCCAGAAGCCGCGGUAAGACGUACGGGGCAAGCGUUGUCCGGAAUUAUUGGGCGUUAAGGGUGGGUAGGCGGAUUUUUAAGUCAAGUGUGAAAGAGCCCGGGUUAACCGUGGGGUUGGAUUUGAAAAUGGGAGGCUUGAGUAUCGGAGGGGGUAGUGGAAUUCCCGGUGUAGGGGUGAAAUGCGUAGAUAUUGGGAGAGACACCAGUGGCGAAGGCGACUACCUGGAUGAAAACUGACGCUGAUGCACGAAAGCUGUGGGAGCAAACCG
rnacentral:rRNA from 1 species